AACGAACGCUGACGGCAGGCCUAACACAUGCAGGUCGAGCGAAGCCUUCGGGCUUAGCGGCGGACGGGUGAGUAACGCGUGGGAACGUGCCCUUUGGUACGGAAUAGCCCCGGGAAACUGGGAGUAAUACCGUAUGUGGUCGAGAGACGAAAGAUUUAUCGCCAAAGGAUCGGCCCGCGUUGGAUUAGGUAGUUGGUGGGGUAAUGGCCUACCAAGCCGACGAUCCAUAGCUGGUUUGAGAGGAUGAUCAGCCACACUGGGACUGAGACACGGCCCAGACUCCUACGGGAGGCAGCAGUGGGGAAUCUUAGACAAUGGGGGAAACCCUGAUCUAGCCAUGCCGCGUGAUCGAUGAAGGCCUUAGGGUUGUAAAGAUCUUUCAGUGGGGAAGAUAAUGACUGUACCCACUGAAGAAGCCCCGGCUAACUCCGUGCCAGCCGCCGCGGUAAAAC
rnacentral:rRNA from 1 species